GCCCUUGUAGCUCAAUGGUAGAGCUCCGGCCUGGAAAGCCAUAGACCAGUGGUUCGGUCCCCGCCCGGGACA